rnacentral:rRNA from 1 species
UACAGGGGGUGCAAACGUUGCUCGGAAUCAUUGGGCGUAAAGCGCACGUAGGCGGUUCGUUAUGUCGGAUGUGAAAGCCCUUGGCUUAACCGAGGAAGUGCAUCCGAAACUGGCGAGCUAGAGUACGAAAGAGGAUCGCGGAAUUCCCGGUGUAGAGGUGAAAUUCGUAGAUAUCGGGAGGAACACCGGUGGCGAAGGCGGCGAUCUGGGUCGAUACUGACGCUGAGGUACGAAAGCGUGGGGAGCAAACAGGG